rnacentral:lncRNA from 1 species
CGAGAUUUCAAGUUUCUCCUUGAUGUAUCAAAUCCUUGAUGUAAACAAAUGUAUCUGUGUAUUACUCUACAGUAUAGUAAUGCUGCAAGAAGGAAUUGGCACUCAUCUAGCAUGGAGCUAUGUCAUACUGAUACUGCUUCAUAGCAUCAAUUCAAGUUUUACAUCACCAACUCAUCAUGCUUUGGAAAAAAAUGAAGUGGCAGCCAGCAAAUUUAUCACGAAACUGAAAGAUGCAUCUGAAGCUCUUUUAAACUUCUUCAGGCCAGUGACUUGCCGAUACAAAGAAAAGCACUCCUUAGUCCCUUGUCAUGUAGGAGGGAGCAUUAAUGCAACAGAAUGCUUGGAAAAUAGAUGUUGUCCUUCCAAAGGCAACCAUGAACUGAAAUGUUAUAUCCCAUUUAAAGACGAUCUGCAACUGACGUUUCGACUGUUUUUGCUUGGGGCGGUAGGAUUUUUAAUUUUGGGUUGUCUACCAUUAUGUUGCUGUGCCUGCUUGCAGAGGAG